rnacentral:ribozyme from 1 species
UGCCCAGCAACUCCUAUCCCUACCUCCUCGUGGUACCGGCCGGAAACUAUGAGCAACCUUAGGGAAGAUCGGGUAACCAACCCCGCUGGGAACUUUGGGUCAUAGGCUGACAGGGAAGG